AGGGAAAUCUUGGGACACUGUGGAAGCCCAGAGAAUCUGAUCCCGGGUCCCACAACUUCACAUAUCGCGAGUAAGUGGGAGGCAAAGAAAAUUCUUUUUCUCCUCUUUUGGGACAGUUUGUGACUAGUAGUGCCUGUGCCCCUGGAAAGGUUGGAGACUUGGGGGACGACUGGAGAAUUGCCAUUUGAGGACCAAAGGAGAAAAGAAACUACACGCUAAUUCUAGAAGGCCUCCUGUCCCUGCCUGCUCUGGGUGCUCAUGGAACCAGCUGCUGCCCUGCACUUCUCCCGGCCAGCCUCCCUCCUCCUCCUCCUCAGCCUGUGUGCACUGGUCUCAGCCCAGGUCACUGUCGUGGGGCCCACUGAUCCCAUCCUGGCCAUGGUGGGAGAAAACACUACGUUACGAUGCUGUCUGUCACCCGAGGAAAAUGCUGAGGACAUGGAGGUGCGGUGGUUCCAGUCUCAGUUCUCCCCUGCAGUGUUUGUGUAUAAGGGUGGAAGAGAGAGAACAGAGGAGCAGAAGGAGGAGUACCGAGGGAGAACCACCUUUGUGAGCAAAGACAGCAGGGGCAGCGUGGCCCUGAUCAUACACAAUGUCACAGCCGAGGAUAACGGCAUCUACCAGUGUUACUUCCAAGAAGGCAGGUCCUGCAAUGAGGCCAUCCUGCACCUUGUGGUGGCAGCCCAUUGCAGACCAGCACAAUCCUCUUUCCUGGAUCCCCAUUCCGCAGGGACACUCUCCCUAUGAAAAGAAGAUUCCAGGGAAAAAUCCUUCCUCCUGCACAAGGGCCACCAUGAGUGAGUUUGCCCUGCUAAGCCGUGGGCUUGACUUCUUGAGAAGCACAUGCAGAACUCAGUUGAGGCCAUGAGCCGGGGAAAAUGGUGAAUCUCGGAAGAGAAGUCCUAUGCCUGCCUUAGCACUGAGCUGUGCACUUCUGAGAGUGAGAGGAGACACCAUCAAUAAUUGUCUUGGGACAACUGGAAUAAACAGUGACUGCCCAGAGAACUACGAUAUUUGAAAUCUUAUUUCUUGAUGAAUAUUCAUCCUGACUUCUUUCCUGAAAUGCUGUUUGCAAAGAGAGUGACUUAUAUAAGAGAUGCAAUAGGCACUGAGACACUGCCUUUUGGCUGUGCCCUGGUAUCUCUCCCCAGGACUGGACUCUGAGCCCGUCAUUGAAAUGAGAGACCACGAGGACGGGGGCAUCCAGCUGGAGUGCAUAUCUGGAGGGUGGUACCCAAAGCCCCUCACAGUGUGGAGGGACCCCUACGGUGAGGUCGUGCCUGCCCUGAAGGAGGUCUCCACCCCUGACGCAGACAGCCUCUUCAUGGUCACCACAGCUGUGAUCAUCAGAGACAAGUCUGUGAGGAACGUGUCCUGCUCUAUCAAUGACACCCUGCUCGGCCAGAAGAAAGAAAGUGUCAUUUUUAUUCCAGAAUCCUUUAUGCCCAGCAGGUCUCCAUGUGUGGUGAUCCUGCCUGUUAUCAUGAUUAUUCUGAUGAUACCCAUUGCCAUAUGCAUCUACUGGAUCAACAAUCUCCAAAAGGAAAAAAAAGAUUCUGUCAGGGCAAAAGGAGCUUGAACAGGAAAGGAAAGA
ensembl:lncRNA BTN2A3P butyrophilin subfamily 2 member A3, pseudogene